ACGAACGCUGGCGGCAUGCCUAACACAUGCAAGUCGAACGAGACCUUCGGGUCUAGUGGCGCACGGGUGCGUAACGCGUGGGAAUCUGCCCUUAGGUUCGGAAUAACUCAGGGAAACUUGAGCUAAUACCGGAUGAUGACUUCGGUCCAAAGAUUUAUCGCCUAGGGAUGAGCCCGCGUCGGAUUAGCUAGUUGGUGAGGUAAAGGCUCACCAAGGCGACGAUCCGUAGCUGGUCUGAGAGGAUGAUCAGCCACAUUGGGACUGAGACACGGCCCAGACUCCUACGGGAGGCAGCAGUCGGGAAUUUUGGGCAAUGGGCGAAAGCCUGACCCAGCAACGCCGCGUGAAGGAUGAAAUCCCUCGGGAUGUAAACUUCGCAAGAACGGGAAGAAUAAGCCGGUGACAACACCACCGGCGAUGACGGUACCGUUUGUAAGCUCCGGCUAACUCCGUGCCAGCAGCCGCGGUAAUACGGGGGGAGCAAGCGUUGUUCGGAUUUACUGGGCGUAAAGGGCGCGUAGGCGGCCACCGCAAGUCGACUGUGAAAUCUCCGGGCUUAACUCGGAAAGGUCAGCCGAUACUGCGGGGCUAGAGUGCAGAAGGGGCAACUGGAAUUCUCGGUGUAGCGGUGAAAUGCGUAGAUAUCGAGAGGAACACCUGCGGCGAAGGCGGGUUGCUGGGCUGACACUGACGCUGAGGCGCGAAAGCUAGGGGAGCGAACGGGAUUAGAUACCCCGGUAGUCCUAGCCUUAAACGAUGAAUGCUUGGUGUCUGGGGUUUUAUAGUCCCCGGGUGCCGUCGCUAACGCUUUAAGCAUUCCGCCUGGGGAGUACGGCCGCAAGGUUAAAACUCAAAGAAAUUGACGGGGGCCUGCACAAGCGGUGGAGCAUGUGGUUUAAUUCGAAGCAACGCGCAGAACCUUACCAGCGUUUGACAUGGUAGGACGGUUUCCAGAGAUGGAUUCCUUCCCUUACGGGACCUACACACAGGUGCUGCAUGGCUGUCGUCAGCUCGUGUCGUGAGGUGUUGGGUUAAGUCCCGCAACGAGCGCAACCCUCGUCUUUAGUUGCUAUCAUUUAGUUGGGCACUCUAAAGAAACUGCCGGUGAUAAGCCGGAGGAAGGUGGGGAUGACGUCAAGUCCUCAUGGCCCUUACGCGCUGGGCUACACACGUGCUACAAUGGCGGUGACAACGGGCAGCAAACUCGCAAGGGUGAGCAAAUCCCAAAAAGCCGUCUCAGUUCGGAUUGUUCUCUGCAACUCGAGAGCAUGAAGGCGGAAUCGCUAGUAAUCGCGGAUCAGCAUGCCGCGGGAAACGUUCCCA
rnacentral:rRNA from 1 species